rnacentral:misc_RNA from 1 species
UCACCGCUUGCGCGGGCAGUUUCUCUAGAGUCCCCACCAUUAUGUGCUGGCAACUAGAGAUAGGGGUUGCGCUCGUUGCGGGACUUAACCCAACACCUCACGGCACGAGCUGACGACAACCAUGCAGCACCUCGCACCACGUCCGAAGAAGGGCUAGUUUCCUAGCCUGUCGUAGUGCGUUCAAGCCCUGGUAAGGUUCCUCGCGUACCAUCGAAUUAAACCACAUGCUCCACCGCUUGUGCGGGCCCCCGUCAAUUCCUUUGAGUUUCACCGUUGCCGGCGUACUCCCCAGGUGGAUCACUAAACAAUUUCUUUGGGACACUGACCGUAUAUCGCCAAUGUCAAGUGAUCAACGUUUACAGCGUGGACUAC